CACAGGUUUUCCUUAAUUACAACAAUGUCGCCUUAGAGCUAGGAAUAAUGACUUCCAGGUUUUUGUUUUAUUAGCAGUUUCACAGAAUGACUAUUGGAGGCAGGUGCUUAGAGUCUCUCACUUUGAUUAUGAAAUGUCUUCAAAGUAUUGUGUGUGGCAUACAUUCACAGAUUGCUCCUUUUCCUACUCACAGCAUUGAACUGAACAAGAGUUUGGAGAAAUGAUUAAAAAUAAAAAUUAUUAUUAUCUGUU